GAUGAACGCUGGCGGCAGGCUUAACACAUGCAAGUCGAGCGGGGGAAGGUAGCUUGCUACCGGACCUAGCGGCGGACGGGUGAGUAAUGCUUAGGAAUCUGCCUAUUAGUGGGGGACAACAUCUCGAAAGGGAUGCUAAUACCGCAUACGUCCUACGGGAGAAAGCAGGGGAUCUUCGGACCUUGCGCUAAUAGAUGAGCCUAAGUCAGAUUAGCUAGUUGGUGGGGUAAAGGCCUACCAAGGCGACGACCUGUAGCGGGUCUGAGAGGAUGAUCCGCCACACUGGGACUGAGACACGGCCCAGACUCCUACGGGAGGCAGCAGUGGGGGAUAUUGGACAAUGGGGGGAACCCUGAUCCAGCCAUGCCGCGUGUGUGAAGAAGGCCUUAUGGUUGUAAAGCACUUUAAGCGAGGAGGAGGCUACUUUAGUUAAUACCUAGAGAUAGUGGACGUUACUCGCAGAAUAAGCACCGGCUAACUCUGUGCCAGCCGCCGCGGUAA
rnacentral:rRNA from 1 species